rnacentral:tRNA from 1 species
GAACGUAUUGCUUAGUUGGUCAGAGCGCUUGGACGGUUUUCAAGAGGCGCGGGUUUAAGUCCCGCUUUAUUCA